UUAGAGCACUUCCUGGUGAAGAGUGUUGACGGGUGAAUGUGCGGAUGACAAAGAGACUUUUCUCUCUUUCCUUCUGAGCCGCCUCUCAGAAGCCUCUGUGUGUGCACGAUGUGGCUGAUCUGGGAUAAUCGUGCUGUGCGCAGUGCUUAAGGAGAACAUUGCCCUAAAAUGGAGGGCUAAGGAAUAGCCUAAAAAACCUAAAAGGCUCGGGAAGAGCCAAAGAGAACACCGAUGGGCUCUGGGAAGCCCCAGUGAUGCUAGCGAAAACAGCGUGGCUUUUAGGCACCUCCUCAGAGCAGCAGCAAUGUCUCGCUCCAGCCUAUGGGACAAUGGGGACUCUUAAUUACCGCCUUGAAUUACCACAAGUGUUGCAAAAGCAGAAGGGACUAGGGAGCAUGCAGAGCAGGUUAUGGACUAUAUGUCAAGUUUAAACAAGCAACAAGCCCCUCUGCAAACAGAAACAGGUUUAGCCCUAAGUAAUAGACGAAGGUAGCUGUGAGUAACGUGAAGCGAAGCGGUGACGUCAGUCACCCCGAAAGCCUCGGAGAAGCGGUCUGAAAAUCUGGUACCCUCGCGGCCUCGGCAGUCUUUUUGGUUUGUUUGGCAGGGUAGCCCACCGAAGGGGGACAUCUCGAAGAGAAGCAGCAAGACCUGGGGAUCCGGUGGUUCAUUUUGGUCGUCGCCUGUGAGGCCAGCAUGCAAGAGUAAGAGGAAGCUAGGAGCAGUCUCAAAAAGAGAUGGAACCAAGGACAGCAAAUGCUGACGAGGAGAAGAGACGGACGAGCGUUUGCUUGCGGUUAAUACCGAAGGGACGGGAUGAAACAAGGAAGCCAGAAUGCAGCGGCCCCUCGAUAUCACCAGGAACUGCUACAGGAGGAGGCGUUCUGGCACGGGUAACUAGGAUUAAUUGCCACGGCUGAAGUUGAAGAGACCAAGAAACGUAAGCCCCGAAGGGGCACAUCUUGAAGAGAGGGGGCUAGACCUAGCGAUCCAGUUGUUCGUUUUGGUCGUCGCCUGUGAGGCCAGCAUGCAAGAGUAAGAGGAAGCUAGGAGCAGUCUCAAAAAGAGAUGGAACCAAGGACAGCAAAUGCUGACGAGGAGAAGAGACGGACGAGCGUUUGCUUGCGGUUAAUACCGAAGGGACGGGAUGAAACAAGGAAGCCAGAAUGCAGCGGCCCCUCGAUAUCGCCAGGAACUGCUACAGGAGGAGGCGUUCUGGCACGGGUAACUAGGGGUAGCCCACCGAAGGGGGACAUCUCGAAGAGAAGCAGCAAGACCUGGGGAUCCGGUGGUUCAUUUUGGUCGUCGCCUGUGAGGCCAGCAUGCAAGAGUAAGAGGAAGCUAGGAGCAGUCUCAAAAAGAGAUGGAACCAAGGACAGCAAAUGCUGACGAGGAGAAGAGACGGACGAGCGUUUGCUUGCGGUUAAUACCGAAGGGACGGGAUGAAACAAGGAAGCCAGAAUGCAGCGGCCCCUCGAUAUCACCAGGAACUGCUACAGGAGGAGGCGUUCUGGCACGGGUAACUAGGAUUAAUUGCCACGGCUGAAGUUGAAGAGACCAAGAAACGUAAGCCCCGAAGGGGCACAUCUUGAAGAGAGGGGGCUAGACCUAGCGAUCCAGUUGUUCGUUUUGGUCGUCGCCUGUGAGGCCAGCAUGCAAGAGUAAGAGGAAGCUAGGAGCAGUCUCAAAAAGAGAUGGAACCAAGGACAGCAAAUGCUGACGAGGAGAAGAGACGGACGAGCGUUUGCUUGUGGUUAAUACCGAAGGGACGGGAUGAAACAAGGAAGCCAGAAUGCAGCGGCCCCUCGAUAUCGCCAGGAACUGCUACAGGAGGAGGCGUUCUGGCACGGGUAACUAGGGGUAGCCCACCGAAGGGGGACAUCUCGAAGAGAAGCAGCAAGACCUGGGGAUCCGGUGGUUCAUUUUGGUCGUCGCCUGUGAGGCCAGCAUGCAAGAGUAAGAGGAAGCUAGGAGCAGUCUCAAAAAGAGAUGGAACCAAGGACAGCAAAUGCUGACGAGGAGAAGAGACGGACGAGCGUUUGCUUGCGGUUAAUACCGAAGGGACGGGAUGAAACAAGGAAGCCAGAAUGCAGCGGCCCCUCGAUAUCACCAGGAACUGCUACAGGAGGAGGCGUUCUGGCACGGGUAACUAGGAUUAAUUGCCACGGCUGAAGUUGAAGAGACCAAGAAACGUAAGCCCCGAAGGGGCACAUCUUGAAGAGAGGGGGCUAGACCUAGCGAUCCAGUUGUUCGUUUUGGUCGUCGCCUGUGAGGCCAGCAUGCAAGAGUAAGAGGAAGCUAGGAGCAGUCUCAAAAAGAGAUGGAACCAAGGACAGCAAAUGCUGACGAGGAGAAGAGACGGACGAGCGUUUGCUUGUGGUUAAUACCGAAGGGACGGGAUGAAACAAGGAAGCCAGAAUGCAGCGGCCCCUCGAUAUCGCCAGGAACUGCUACAGGAGGAGGCGUUCUGGCACGGGUAACUAGGGGUAGCCCACCGAAGGGGGACAUCUCGAAGAGAAGCAGCAAGACCUGGGGAUCCGGUGGUUCAUUUUGGUCGUCGCCUGUGAGGCCAGCAUGCAAGAGUAAGAGGAAGCUAGGAGCAGUCUCAAAAAGAGAUGGAACCAAGGACAGCAAAUGCUGACGAGGAGAAGAGACGGACGAGCGUUUGCUUGCGGUUAAUACCGAAGGGACGGGAUGAAACAAGGAAGCCAGAAUGCAGCGGCCCCUCGAUAUCACCAGGAACUGCUACAGGAGGAGGCGUUCUGGCACGGGUAACUAGGAUUAAUUGCCACGGCUGAAGUUGAAGAGACCAAGAAACGUAAGCCCCGAAGGGGCACAUCUUGAAGAGAGGGGGCUAGACCUAGCGAUCCAGUUGUUCGUUUUGGUCGUCGCCUGUGAGGCCAGCAUGCAAGAGUAAGAGGAAGCUAGGAGCAGUCUCAAAAAGAGAUGGAACCAAGGACAGCAAAUGCUGACGAGGAGAAGAGACGGACGAGCGUUUGCUUGUGGUUAAUACCGAAGGGACGGGAUGAAACAAGGAAGCCAGAAUGCAGCGGCCCCUCGAUAUCGCCAGGAACUGCUACAGGAGGAGGCGUUCUGGCACGGGUAACUAGGGGUAGCCCACCGAAGGGGGACAUCUCGAAGAGAAGCAGCAAGACCUGGGGAUCCGGUGGUUCAUUUUGGUCGUCGCCUGUGAGGCCAGCAUGCAAGAGUAAGAGGAAGCUAGGAGCAGUCUCAAAAAGAGAUGGAACCAAGGACAGCAAAUGCUGACGAGGAGAAGAGACGGACGAGCGUUUGCUUGCGGUUAAUACCGAAGGGACGGGAUGAAACAAGGAAGCCAGAAUGCAGCGGCCCCUCGAUAUCACCAGGAACUGCUACAGGAGGAGGCGUUCUGGCACGGGUAACUAGGAUUAAUUGCCACGGCUGAAGUUGAAGAGACCAAGAAACGUAAGCCCCGAAGGGGCACAUCUUGAAGAGAGGGGGCUAGACCUAGCGAUCCAGUUGUUCGUUUUGGUCGUCGCCUGUGAGGCCAGCAUGCAAGAGUAAGAGGAAGCUAGGAGCAGUCUCAAAAAGAGAUGGAACCAAGGACAGCAAAUGCUGACGAGGAGAAGAGACGGACGAGCGUUUGCUUGUGGUUAAUACCGAAGGGACGGGAUGAAACAAGGAAGCCAGAAUGCAGCGGCCCCUCGAUAUCGCCAGGAACUGCUACAGGAGGAGGCGUUCUGGCACGGGUAACUAGGGGUAGCCCACCGAAGGGGGACAUCUCGAAGAGAAGCAGCAAGACCUGGGGAUCCGGUGGUUCAUUUUGGUCGUCGCCUGUGAGGCCAGCAUGCAAGAGUAAGAGGAAGCUAGGAGCAGUCUCAAAAAGAGAUGGAACCAAGGACAGCAAAUGCUGACGAGGAGAAGAGACGGACGAGCGUUUGCUUGCGGUUAAUACCGAAGGGACGGGAUGAAACAAGGAAGCCAGAAUGCAGCGGCCCCUCGAUAUCACCAGGAACUGCUACAGGAGGAGGCGUUCUGGCACGGGUAACUAGGAUUAAUUGCCACGGCUGAAGUUGAAGAGACCAAGAAACGUAAGCCCCGAAGGGGCACAUCUUGAAGAGAGGGGGCUAGACCUAGCGAUCCAGUUGUUCGUUUUGGUCGUCGCCUGUGAGGCCAGCAUGCAAGAGUAAGAGGAAGCUAGGAGCAGUCUCAAAAAGAGAUGGAACCAAGGACAGCAAAUGCUGACGAGGAGAAGAGACGGACGAGCGUUUGCUUGUGGUUAAUACCGAAGGGACGGGAUGAAACAAGGAAGCCAGAAUGCAGCGGCCCCUCGAUAUCGCCAGGAACUGCUACAGGAGGAGGCGUUCUGGCACGGGUAACUAGGGGUAGCCCACCGAAGGGGGACAUCUCGAAGAGAAGCAGCAAGACCUGGGGAUCCGGUGGUUCAUUUUGGUCGUCGCCUGUGAGGCCAGCAUGCAAGAGUAAGAGGAAGCUAGGAGCAGUCUCAAAAAGGUAAUAGGCUUGAAAGGGAGACAGGCAAAUCGAGGGCUGUCGUUCCUCCACGUAGUUAAAGACCGAGAGAGUUGUGGGUUAAGCGCAUGCAUACGAGGGUUUGCGAACAGUAACAAUAACACUGAAGCGGAAUAAAAAUAAGGUUUCGUGGAAGAUGGCGUUAGGAAGGUAUUAGGCGACGUGCCCGCCUGCCUAAUAACCUAGCCCUAAUUGCUGUGAGUAACGUUUCCAGACCGUUUACCCUGCAACGUAUGGUGCAAAGUGCCGUAUUAAGACCUUUCCCUUAAGGAAAAGAAGAAGAAAAAAAGAAAAAAAAAGGGGGAAAAAGAAAACAGGGUAAAGAGAAAAAGAUCGUGCAUAAACCUAAGCGUUUCACUGGAAGUAAAAUGCGAGUUUAUCGCUUCCUUACAGAGAUGGAACCAAGGACAGCAAAUGCUGACGAGGAGAAGAGACGGACGAGCGUUUGCUUGCGGUUAAUACCGAAGGGACGGGAUGAAACAAGGAAGCCAGAAUGCAGCGGCCCCUCGAUAUCACCAGGAACUGCUACAGGAGGAGGCGUUCUGGCACGGGUAACUAGGAUUAAUUGCCACGGCUGAAGUUGAAGAGACCAAGAAACGUAAGCCCCGAAGGGGCACAUCUUGAAGAGAGGGGGCUAGACCUAGCAAUCCAGUUGUUCGUUUUGGUCGUCGCCUGUGAGGCCAGCAUGCAAGAGUAAGAGGAAGCUAGGAGCAGUCUCAAAAAGGUAAUAGGCUUGAAAGGGAGACAGGCAAAUCGAGGGCUGUCGUUCCUCCACGUAGUUAAAGACCGAGAGAGUUGUGGGUUAAGCGCAUGCAUACGAGGGUUUGCGAACAGUAACAAUAACACUGAAGCGGAAUAAAAAUAAGGUUUCGUGGAAGGUGGCGUUAGGAAGGUAUUAGGCGACGUGCCCGCCUGCCUAAUAACCUAGCCCUAAUUGCUGUGUGUAACGUUUCCAGACCGUUUACCCUGCAACGUAUGGUGCAAAGUGCCGUAUUAAGACCUUUCCCUUAAGGAAAAGAAGAAGAAAAAAAGAAAAAAAAGGGGGAAAAAGAAAACAGGGUAAAGAGAAAAAGAUCGUGCAUAAACCUAAGCGUUUCACUGGAAGUAAAACGCGAGUUUAUCGCUUCCUUACAGAGAUGGAACCAAGGACAGCAAAUGCUGACGAGGAGAAGAGACGGACGAGCGUUUGCUUGUGGUUAAUACCGAAGGGACGGGAUGAAACAAGGAAGCCAGAAUGCAGCGGCCCCUCGAUAUCGCCAGGAACUGCUACAGGAGGAGGCGUUCUGGCACGGGUAACUAGGGGUAGCCCACCGAAGGGGGACAUCUCGAAGAGAAGCAGCAAGACCUGGGGAUCCGGUGGUUCAUUUUGGUCGUCGCCUGUGAGGCCAGCAUGCAAGAGUAAGAGGAAGCUAGGAGCAGUCUCAAAAAGGUAAUAGGCUUGAAAGGGAGACAGGCAAAUCGAGGGCUGUCGUUCCUCCACGUAGUUAAAGACCGAGAGAGUUGUGGGUUAAGCGCAUGCAUACGAGGGUUUGCGAACAGUAACAAUAACACUGAAGCGGAAUAAAAAUAAGGUUUCGUGGAAGAUGGCGUUAGGAAGGUAUUAGGCGACGUGCCCGCCUGCCUAAUAACCUAGCCCUAAUUGCUGUGAGUAACGUUUCCAGACCGUUUACCCUGCAACGUAUGGUGCAAAGUGCCGUAUUAAGACCUUUCCCUUAAGGAAAAGAAGAAGAAAAAAAGAAAAAAAAAGGGGGAAAAAGAAAACAGGGUAAAGAGAAAAAGAUCGUGCAUAAACCUAAGCGUUUCACUGGAAGUAAAAUGCGAGUUUAUCGCUUCCUUACAGAGAUGGAACCAAGGACAGCAAAUGCUGACGAGGAGAAGAGACGGACGAGCGUUUGCUUGCGGUUAAUACCGAAGGGACGGGAUGAAACAAGGAAGCCAGAAUGCAGCGGCCCCUCGAUAUCACCAGGAACUGCUACAGGAGGAGGCGUUCUGGCACGGGUAACUAGGAUUAAUUGCCACGGCUGAAGUUGAAGAGACCAAGAAACGUAAGCCCCGAAGGGGCACAUCUUGAAGAGAGGGGGCUAGACCUAGCAAUCCAGUUGUUCGUUUUGGUCGUCGCCUGUGAGGCCAGCAUGCAAGAGUAAGAGGAAGCUAGGAGCAGUCUCAAAAAGGUAAUAGGCUUGAAAGGGAGACAGGCAAAUCGAGGGCUGUCGUUCCUCCACGUAGUUAAAGACCGAGAGAGUUGUGGGUUAAGCGCAUGCAUACGAGGGUUUGCGAACAGUAACAAUAACACUGAAGCGGAAUAAAAAUAAGGUUUCGUGGAAGGUGGCGUUAGGAAGGUAUUAGGCGACGUGCCCGCCUGCCUAAUAACCUAGCCCUAAUUGCUGUGUGUAACGUUUCCAGACCGUUUACCCUGCAACGUAUGGUGCAAAGUGCCGUAUUAAGACCUUUCCCUUAAGGAAAAGAAGAAGAAAAAAAGAAAAAAAAGGGGGAAAAAGAAAACAGGGUAAAGAGAAAAAGAUCGUGCAUAAACCUAAGCGUUUCACUGGAAGUAAAACGCGAGUUUAUCGCUUCCUUACAGAGAUGGAACCAAGGACAGCAAAUGCUGACGAGGAGAAGAGACGGACGAGCGUUUGCUUGUGGUUAAUACCGAAGGGACGGGAUGAAACAAGGAAGCCAGAAUGCAGCGGCCCCUCGAUAUCGCCAGGAACUGCUACAGGAGGAGGCGUUCUGGCACGGGUAACUAGGGGUAGCCCACCGAAGGGGGACAUCUCGAAGAGAAGCAGCAAGACCUGGGGAUCCGGUGGUUCAUUUUGGUCGUCGCCUGUGAGGCCAGCAUGCAAGAGUAAGAGGAAGCUAGGAGCAGUCUCAAAAAGGUAAUAGGCUUGAAAGGGAGACAGGCAAAUCGAGGGCUGUCGUUCCUCCACGUAGUUAAAGACCGAGAGAGUUGUGGGUUAAGCGCAUGCAUACGAGGGUUUGCGAACAGUAACAAUAACACUGAAGCGGAAUAAAAAUAAGGUUUCGUGGAAGAUGGCGUUAGGAAGGUAUUAGGCGACGUGCCCGCCUGCCUAAUAACCUAGCCCUAAUUGCUGUGAGUAACGUUUCCAGACCGUUUACCCUGCAACGUAUGGUGCAAAGUGCCGUAUUAAGACCUUUCCCUUAAGGAAAAGAAGAAGAAAAAAAGAAAAAAAAAGGGGGAAAAAGAAAACAGGGUAAAGAGAAAAAGAUCGUGCAUAAACCUAAGCGUUUCACUGGAAGUAAAAUGCGAGUUUAUCGCUUCCUUACAGAGAUGGAACCAAGGACAGCAAAUGCUGACGAGGAGAAGAGACGGACGAGCGUUUGCUUGCGGUUAAUACCGAAGGGACGGGAUGAAACAAGGAAGCCAGAAUGCAGCGGCCCCUCGAUAUCACCAGGAACUGCUACAGGAGGAGGCGUUCUGGCACGGGUAACUAGGAUUAAUUGCCACGGCUGAAGUUGAAGAGACCAAGAAACGUAAGCCCCGAAGGGGCACAUCUUGAAGAGAGGGGGCUAGACCUAGCGAUCCAGUUGUUCGUUUUGGUCGUCGCCUGUGAGGCCAGCAUGCAAGAGUAAGAGGAAGCUAGGAGCAGUCUCAAAAAGAGAUGGAACCAAGGACAGCAAAUGCUGACGAGGAGAAGAGACGGACGAGCGUUUGCUUGUGGUUAAUACCGAAGGGACGGGAUGAAACAAGGAAGCCAGAAUGCAGCGGCCCCUCGAUAUCGCCAGGAACUGCUACAGGAGGAGGCGUUCUGGCACGGGUAACUAGGGGUAGCCCACCGAAGGGGGACAUCUCGAAGAGAAGCAGCAAGACCUGGGGAUCCGGUGGUUCAUUUUGGUCGUCGCCUGUGAGGCCAGCAUGCAAGAGUAAGAGGAAGCUAGGAGCAGUCUCAAAAAGGUAAUAGGCUUGAAAGGGAGACAGGCAAAUCGAGGGCUGUCGUUCCUCCACGUAGUUAAAGACCGAGAGAGUUGUGGGUUAAGCGCAUGCAUACGAGGGUUUGCGAACAGUAACAAUAACACUGAAGCGGAAUAAAAAUAAGGUUUCGUGGAAGAUGGCGUUAGGAAGGUAUUAGGCGACGUGCCCGCCUGCCUAAUAACCUAGCCCUAAUUGCUGUGAGUAACGUUUCCAGACCGUUUACCCUGCAACGUAUGGUGCAAAGUGCCGUAUUAAGACCUUUCCCUUAAGGAAAAGAAGAAGAAAAAAAGAAAAAAAAAGGGGGAAAAAGAAAACAGGGUAAAGAGAAAAAGAUCGUGCAUAAACCUAAGCGUUUCACUGGAAGUAAAAUGCGAGUUUAUCGCUUCCUUACAGAGAUGGAACCAAGGACAGCAAAUGCUGACGAGGAGAAGAGACGGACGAGCGUUUGCUUGCGGUUAAUACCGAAGGGACGGGAUGAAACAAGGAAGCCAGAAUGCAGCGGCCCCUCGAUAUCACCAGGAACUGCUACAGGAGGAGGCGUUCUGGCACGGGUAACUAGGAUUAAUUGCCACGGCUGAAGUUGAAGAGACCAAGAAACGUAAGCCCCGAAGGGGCACAUCUUGAAGAGAGGGGGCUAGACCUAGCGAUCCAGUUGUUCGUUUUGGUCGUCGCCUGUGAGGCCAGCAUGCAAGAGUAAGAGGAAGCUAGGAGCAGUCUCAAAAAGAGAUGGAACCAAGGACAGCAAAUGCUGACGAGGAGAAGAGACGGACGAGCGUUUGCUUGUGGUUAAUACCGAAGGGACGGGAUGAAACAAGGAAGCCAGAAUGCAGCGGCCCCUCGAUAUCGCCAGGAACUGCUACAGGAGGAGGCGUUCUGGCACGGGUAACUAGGGUAAGUAUCGCUAAUGACCGUUAGCAGUUAUUUCGGCCUCCCCGAGGCAGCGCUGAGGACUAAGUAACCUGAGGGGCUCUGGCCUGGGUUAGGGCAGAAGUGCAGGCAGGCGGGAUCAGGCAUUUUCCUCUCAGCUCUCCGAGCUGAAUCCUAGCCCUGAAGGAAAAAGCACUGGGGGGAGGCUACUCGGACACCUGCCACGUCGAGGGCAGGGGCAGGAGCUGACCCUUCCCCGACAGACGGACGGACGGACAGACGCUGGUGCGGCGGUGACUCUUUGGAUAUCGUAGGUAAGGGGAGGCACGCUGGUGCCGAGCUCCAGGGCGGUUUGCCUGAACACGAUGCCCGGGGCAGGAGGUUACGCAUUGUGUCCGGGGCUGGGAGCUGGUCCCCGAGUCCCAUGUACUUGGGAGUGCCUGCGCUUGCCAGGGUGCCCGGUGCUGUUCCCAGAGCUGCGGGGAAUUUCCCUUGCAUUGCCUGGACCCUCGGGGCUCUUGGGGGUGUUUCCCCUCAUCGCAAGGGCAGCCAGAGCCCCUCCAGGGCUGCGUGAGGUCCCCGAACCGCUCCCGGAUUUGCUUUUGGCACUCCGCAGUGUCGCUCGUGUGCCUGGGGCAGCCUGCAGGCGCCAUCCGGUCAGCCGCGUUGAGCCCUGCGGCGUGCCUGGUGACCCCUCUGGUGUGUGCCAAGGCCCUUCCUCUGUAUUUUGGUCUGCCCCAGAGCCCUGCACUUGCCCUCUGAUGCCCUCUGAUGCCCUCAGGACCCCUCAGUUCACAUUCUGGGUUGCCCCCGAGCCCUCUGCGUGCCUUUCGGUGCGCCCCGUGGCCCCGUGUGUGUUUUGCGGCACGCCGCAGAGGUCUCUGUUUAGCUUUUUCUCCUGUCCUGGAGUUUUCUGGGUGCUUCUGGGUGUGCCCCAGGGCCCUCCUUUUGGUGCCCCCCGAGUCACUCUGUUUGCUCUAUCGUUGUUCUUUUUUUUUUUUUCUUUUUUUUCUUGACUUGUGUUGCACCCAGAGCUCUCGAUUUGUUCUCUUGUGCUCCGCAUACUCCCCUUUCCGCACUCUACACCCCAGGCAGGGCUCUCCCUUCAGCUCUCAGCAAGCUGCUGUCAGGAGAGUGGGGGUGCCUCUGCUGCCCUGGCAGCCCCAGCUGUCCCUGAAGGGGCUGAUGGCCAGGCCCCCUGCCCAGUUCCUGCAGGCCCACAGCUGCGGGCCCUGGGGCUGGGAUGAAUGCCAGGGGGAGCUGGGUGGCAGGACAGGCCCCAGGUGGGGCUGAUGGCAAGGGCAGGCCCACAUUUGGGGGCUGGGGCCGCAGUUGGGGGGAGCUGGCGCUGGGGCAGGAGCUGGGCAGCGGAGCUGCCACGGAGCACGGCCCUUCGGGACCAGCCCGGCGGCCGCCCCGCGGAGGAGGUGAGCGGGGCCGGGGGAGGCGCGCUGCAGGCUGCGGGUCCCGCGUGUGCCGGGGGUCCCGGCGGCUGGGAGCGUCCCGGGGCCACGG